rnacentral:rRNA from 1 species
CGAGACCUCAGGUCAGGCGGGGCUACCCGCUGAAUUUAAGCAUAUCAAUAAGCGGAGGAAAAAGAAACUAACA